UACGUAGGGUGCAAGCGUUAAUCGGAAUUGCUGGGCGUAAAGCGUGCGCAGGCGGUUUCGCAAGUCAGAUGUGAAAUCCCCGGGCUUAACCUGGGAACUGCAUUUGAAACUACGAGGCUAGAGUAUGUCAGAGGGGGGUAGAAUUCCACGUGUAGCGGUGAAAUGCGUAGAGAUGUGGAGGAAUACCGAUGGCGAAGGCAGCCCCCUGGGAUAACACUGACGCUGAUGCACGAAAGCGUGGGGAGCAAACAGG
rnacentral:rRNA from 1 species